rnacentral:rRNA from 1 species
UUGGGGCUGCCUAUACAUGCAGUCGAGCGGACAGAUGGGAGCUUGCUCCCUGAUGUUAGCGGCGGACGGGUGAGUAACACGUGGGUAACCUGCCUGUAAGACUGGGAUAACUCCGGGAAACCGGGGCUAAUACCGGAUGGUUGUUUGAACCGCAUGGUUCAGACAUAAAAGGUGGCUUCGGCUACCACUUACAGAUGGACCCGCGGCGCAUUAGCUAGUUGGUGAGGUAACGGCUCACCAAGGCGACGAUGCGUAGCCGACCUGAGAGGGUGAUCGGCCACACUGGGACUGAGACACGGCCCAGACUCCUACGGGAGGCAGCAGUAGGGAAUCUUCCGCAAUGGACGAAAGUCUGACGGAGCAACGCCGCGUGAGUGAUGAAGGUUUUCGGAUCGUAAAGCUCUGUUGUUAGGGAAGAACAAGUGCCGUUCAAAUAGGGCGGCACCUUGACGGUACCUAACCAGAAAGCCACGGCUAACUACGUGCCAGCAGCCGCGGUAAUACGUAGGUGGCAAGCGUUGUCCGGAAUUAUUGGGCGUAAAGGGCUCGCAGGCGGUUUCUUAAGUCUGAUGUGAAAGCCCCCGGCUCAACCGGGGAGGGUCAUUGGAAACUGGGGAACUUGAGUGCAGAAGAGGAGAGUGGAAUUCCACGUGUAGCGGUGAAAUGCGUAGAGAUGUGGAGGAACACCAGUGGCGAAGGCGACUCUCUGGUCUGUAACUGACGCUGAGGAGCGAAAGCGUGGGGAGCGAACAGGAUUAGAUACCCUGGUAGUCCACGCCGUAAACGAUGAGUGCUAAGUGUUAGGGGGUUUCCGCCCCUUAGUGCUGCAGCUAACGCAUUUAAGCACUCCGCCUGGGGAGUACGGUCGCAAGACUGAAACUCAAAGGAAUUGACGGGGGCCCGCACAAGCGGUGGAGCAUGUGGUUUAAUUCGAAGCAACGCGAAGAACCUUACCAGGUCUUGACAUCCUCUGACAAUCCUAGAGAUAGGACGUCCCCUUCGGGGGCAGAGUGACAGGUGGUGCAUGGUUGUCGUCAGCUCGUGUCGUGAGAUGUUGGGUUAAGUCCCGCAACGAGCGCAACCCUUGAUCUUAGUUGCCAGCAUUCAGUUGGGCACUCUAAGGUGACUGCCGGUGACAAACCGGAGGAAGGUGGGGAUGA